CCUCCUUUCUAAGGAAAUCGAAAAAUAUUAAAUCAAUUAUUUUCGAUUUAAAAAAAACCGGUAAUGUGACCGUCCUCAUUUCUCUUCUUUUAAUGUCUCUGAGUAAAAAUAAUGUAAGGGGCCGGUAGCUCAGGUGGUUAGAGCGCACCCCUGAUAAGGGUGAGGUCGGAAGUUCGAAUCUUCCUCGGCCCACCAAUAUUAUGGGGGAUUAGCUCAGCUGGGAGAGCGCCUGAUUUGCAUUCAGGAGGUCAGCGGUUCGAUCCCGCUAUCCUCCACCAAAAUUUGAGACAUUUAGCUUUUUUAAAUUGUGAAUAUUAUUAUUAUCAAUAUCUAUAUCCGAUUGUUUUCAGAUAUUUUUCUGAAGAUAAUCAAAACAAAAAUUUGAAUUUUACACAGAAAGUUUUUUUCUGUGCAUAAAUCAAGCGUUUAAGGGCGAUGGGCGGAUGCCUUGGCACUGUAAGACGAUGAAGGACGUGGUAUGCUGCGAUAAGUUCGGGGAGCUGUAUGCAAGCUUUGAUCCGAAAAUUCCGAA
rnacentral:misc_RNA from 1 species